rnacentral:lncRNA from 1 species
AAAAUAAAAAGUUUUGGGGAAUAAAAGUUUGAGGGAAAGUAAAUAGGGGAAAUAAAAUUUUGGAGGGAAAAUAUUAAAAAAAAAUUGGAGGGGGGAGGGUUUGGGAUAGAUGGGAGGUGGGAUGGGAAGGGAAUAAAAGUUUUAGGGGAAAAGUGGGAGGAAGUAAAAAUUUUGGGGGAAAAUAAAAGGUUUUGAGGGUUUUUGGGAGUAAAAUUUUGAGAAAAAAUAAAUGGGAGAGUAAAAUUUUGGUGGGAAAUGGAUUUUGGGUAGAUUAAGGGGUUGAGAGGGAAGGGGAGUAAAAGUUUUGGGGGGAAAGUGGGAAUGAGUAAAAGUUUUGUGGGAAAAGUAAAAAGGUUUGGGAGUUUGGGGUAAAAAUGUAAAAUAUUAUAAUUUGAUAUUCGAAUUAUUCGAGUUAUUCGAAUUCAAAAACUCAACUCGAUUCGAACUCGAAAUUUGAAAAAAAAAUUCGAGUUGAUUCCAAUAACUCGAUUAACUCGAAUAACUCGAUUCGUUUAACUCGAAAUUCGAAUUUUUUUCGAUUUUUUUGAGUCAAAUCGAGUUUUGCUCACCCCUAUUUAUGACUCUAGCCUUUUCCCUAUUGGGUGGGCUUAUGUAAUUUUCCUUAUAAACUCGUAUUAGAAUGAGCUUGUUGGUUCAAGCGGUAAGGAGUUAGCUUGUUGGUGGUCUUGUGUUUGAAUUCCUGCGUGAGCGUGGGUAAUAAUUUUUGUCUCAGUUGUCUGAGAGAGUUUAGAUGGGUUUGAAAGUUUAAGUGGAUGAGAGGAUGGGUAGUUGGAUUGGGUUGAUAGGAGAUCAUGUCUUAAUUUUAGGGAUUUUUGUUUUAUUUUUAUUUUUUUUUCUUUUCUCUCUCUUCACAAGGAAAAAUUCUGAUGUUAGUUUCUCCAUUCUUUCUGACACUUCCUUCUUGUUCUCCUUCUCUACAUCUUUGAUUCUUUCUCUUAUUUUCUUUCCCCUUCAAAUCUG